rnacentral:rRNA from 1 species
UACAGAGGUGGCAAGCGUUGUUCGGAAUUACUGGGCGUAAAGGGCGCGUAGGCGGUCCUGUAAGUCCCGCGUGAAAUCCCCCGGCUCAACUGGGGAACUGCGCGGGAAACUGUGGGGCUUGAGUUCGGGAGAGGGAAGCGGAAUUCCGGGUGUAGCGGUGAAAUGCGUAGAUAUCCGGAGGAACACCGGUGGCGAAGGCGGCUUCCUGGACCGACACUGACACUGAGGAGCGAAAGCCAGGGGAGCAAACGGG